AGCCAGACUUGCUUGCAGUUGCUCAUCCGGGCUUUUGCCCGGUGCACUCUUCUGCAGGCAGGCCAGCAUCAGUUUGGGCGGUGGGAUAAAGGUCUCUGUCACGUACCUUCCUUCGGGUUGGCCAUAUAGGGGAGACGUCAUACCACCAGCCUGGACUGAGGUCCGCGCAUCUGCUAGGAUGCUGGCGUAAUGGCUGUAAGCGGCCCGUCUUGA
rnacentral:rRNA from 1 species